GCAGGAAGCGGGGGAAAGGGAGGGCGCCGGGCGGCUCUGCGGGCUGGAUGAACCCACAUUCUGAGUGGAUCGCCACCAACCCUCGACUCGAGCUUUUGGAAAGAAGCCGGUGUUCCUUUCUGGCGGGAGAAGAGAACGGGUGGCUCAGGCGGCGGCUGCUCCUCCAUGGGAGGAGCUGCACAAGAAUUCAUUCUUUUGCAGCUUCUCAAGCCACUGGGGCAAAAGAGCAUGCCGGUAGUGCUGUGCUGCUGAGGCGCCAAUCUGCAGAGUUUGCAGGUCAUUAGUGCUGCACCAAACUCCAAGCCGAUCUGCACCAACCCGAGUCGAUCUGCAGAGUUUGCAGGUCAUUAGUGCUGCACCAAACUCCAAGCAAGGAGCUCAGAGGGCAAGCAGCAUAUCCAAGGUUUUCUGAUUUCAUCUUCACAACGAUCCUGUGAGUUUUGUAAUGAACCACGGUUGGAACAGUAAAAGCAUCUACCUACUUACUAUGCUUUUGUCAAGCGAUCACUGGAUAAGACAUGAAAUAAAUCCCAGGAAGACCCUGCCUCAGCCAAUUUUGGCCACAGAAAAAUACAGUGAGAAGCAACAUGCAACACAGCCAUGGAAAUGGACUUCAGUUUCACAGAAUUGUCAGGAUUUCCUUCCAGACAGUUUCCAAGAACAUACCAAGAAACCAGGACCUUUGGUGACAUCUUGUUCCAAUUUUAUUGAGGCUGAAUUGUUGGCCAGCUCCUUCAAAUCAUAACCAGCACAGAAGUUGCCUCCUACAAAACACCACAAAAAAAGAAAAAGCUAGAUUAUGGAACAAUAAAGAAGUG